AGAGAGCAGGUUAGAAAGGGAAAGACACAGACAAACAGACAGAUGGAGAAACAGGGAGAGAGAGGGGAAAGCCAGGAUAGACGUGGGGGCAGGGGGAGAGAGGGGAAAGCCAGGAUAGACGUGGGGGCAGGGUAGAGAGAGGGGAAAGCCAGGAUAGAUGUGGGGGCAGGGAGAGAGAGGGGAAAGCCAGGAUAGAUGUGGGGGCAGGGAGAGAGAGGGGAAAGCCAGGAUAGAUGUGGGGGCAGGGAGAGAGGGGAAAGCCAGGAUAGAUGUGGGGGCAGGGGGAGAGAGGGGAAAGCCAGGAUAGAUGUGGGGGCAGGGGGAGAGAGGGGAAAGCCAGGAUAGACGUGGGGGCAGGGGGAGAGAGGGGAAAGCCAGGAUAGACGUGGGGGCAUGGGGAGAGAGGGGAAAGCCAGGAUAGACGUGGGGGCAGGGAGAGAGAGGGGAAAGCCAGGAUAGACGUGGGGGCAGGGGAGAGAGGGGAAAGCCAGGAUAGACGUGGGGGCAGGUAGAGAGAGGGGAAAGCCAGGAUAGACGUGGGGGCAGGAAGAGAGAGGGGAAAGCCAGGAUAGACGUGGGGGGCAGGGAGAGAGAGGGGAAAGCCAGGAUAGACGUGGGGGCAGGAGAGAGAGGGGAAAGCCAGGAUAGAUGUGGGGGCAGGAAGAGAGAGGGGAAAGCCAGGAUAGAUGUGGGGGCAGG
ensembl:lncRNA